rnacentral:tRNA from 1 species
GGCCCCGUGGUGUAGCGGUUAACAUGCCUGCCUGUCACGCAGGAGAUCGUCGGUUCAAAUCCGAUCGGGGUCGCCA